rnacentral:tRNA from 1 species
UGGGAUAUCGCCAAGCGGUAAGGCACCGGGUUUUGAUCUCGGUAUUCCUAGGUUCAAAUCUUAGUAUCCCAGCCA